rnacentral:rRNA from 1 species
GAUGAACGCUGACAGAAUGCUUAACACAUGCAAGUCAACUUGAACUUCGGUUUGGGUGGCGGACGGGUGAGUAACGCGUAAAGAACUUGCCUCACAGAUAGGGACAACAUUUGGAAACGAAUGCUAAUACCUGAUAUUAUGAUUAUAUGGCAUCGUAUAAUUAUGAAAGCUAUAUGCGCUGUGAGAGAGCUUUGCGUCCCAUUAGCUAGUUGGAGAGGUAACGGCUCACCAAGGCGAUGAUGGGUAGCCGGCCUGAGAGGGUGAUCGGCCACAAGGGGACUGAGACACGGCCCUUACUCCUACGGGAGGCAGCAGUGGGGAAUAUUGGACAAUGGACCAAGAGUCUGAUCCAGCAAUUCUGUGUGCACGAUGAAGUUUUUCGGAAUGUAAAGUGCUUUCAGUUGGGAAGAAAAAAAUGACGGUACCAACAGAAGAAGUGACGGCUAAAUACGCG